ACGGGAGGCAGCAGUGGGGAAUAUUGCACAAUGGGGGAAACCCUGAUGCAGCGACGCCGCGUGAGUGAAGAAGUAUUUCGGUAUGUAAAGCUCUAUCAGCAGGGAAGAAAAUGACGGUACCUGACUAAGAAGCCCCGGCUAACUACGUGCCAGCAGCCGCGGUAAUACGUAGGUGGCAAGCGUUAUCCGGAUUUACUGGGUGUAAAGGGCGCGUAGGCGGGGAUGCAAGUCAGGUGUGAAAUCUAUGGGCUUAACCCAUAAACUGCAUUUGAAACUGUAUCUCUUGAGUGUCGGAGAGGUAGAUGGAAUUCCUAGUGUAGCGGUGAAAUGCGUAGAUAUUAGGAGGAACACCAGUGGCGAAGGCGAUCUACUGGACGAUAACUGACGCUGAGGCGCGAAAGCGUGGGGAGCAAACAGGAUUAGAUACCCUGGUA
rnacentral:rRNA from 1 species